UUGAAACCCCUCUCCUCUCUCAAGUUCUCUCGAACCUUACUUAAACCCUAGCACCCACCUUCAAUCUCCACCCAAAAUCGACCAAAAACAUAGCUUCCAAAGCCAUUGAUGCAUUGUAUCUACCUCAUGUGACUCCUACACGUCUGAUUACCAUGGUUUUGAGGUGAAACGUUGAAGAAGCCUGACCCAGAACUUGUCCAAUUCGAAGAUUCCGACCAUCUUCGGCCUUGCUCCAGUGAUUAUUGGUCUUCUAUGCCUGUUUUUGACCUCAUCCAACUUAGAUCAAAUUUUUCCAAGCGUUUCUAAUUUUUAGGGUUCUUCUGAAACCCUAACCAUUCGAGGUUUUCUCCAAUUUUCUUAGAUAUGUUUUGAAUUCAUGCUCUAUCUGAG
rnacentral:lncRNA from 1 species